rnacentral:rRNA from 1 species
UGGGGAAUUUUGGACAAUGGGGGCAACCCUGAUCCAGCCAUGCCGCGUGCGGGAAGAAGGCCUUCGGGUUGUAAACCGCUUUUAGCCGGGAAGAAAAGGCGCGAGCUAAUACCUUGCGUUUUUGACGGUACCGGCGGAAUAAGCACCGGCUAACUACGUGCCAGCAGCCGCGGUAAUACGUAGGGUGCGAGCGUUAAUCGGAAUUACUGGGCGUAAAGCGUGCGCAGGCGGUUCGUUGUGUCGGUGGUGAAAGCCCCGGGCUUAACCUGGGAAUGGCCAUGGAAACUGGCGAACUGGAGUGUGGCAGAGGGGGGUGGAAUUCCGCGUGUAGCAGUGAAAUGCGUAGAGAUGCGGAGGAACACCGAUGGCGAAGGCAGCCCCCUGGGCUAGCACUGACGCUCAGGCACGAAAGCGUGGGGAGCAAACAG